CUUUUCGUCACCGGGCGCUGGAACGAGGGCGCACGACACGGCGCCCUCGGGCGGCUCCGCCGCCGCGCCCAGCGCCAGCCACGAAUCCUCACGCCGCCGUCGGUGUCGUCUCGCUUCUUGUUCGUGCGCCAUUCUGUCGCCGGGCGACUUGCGUCCCGACUGGUCGCGGCGGUCGUACUCUUGUCGUCGUUCCUGACCGCCCUCGUACGAGCGGUGGUCGUCGGCGCGAAUCCAUGCCGACGGGCGCGGGUGAUCCAACCGGAGGGCAAAGAGAUCGACGGGCAGUCGCAGGUGGGCAAACAGCGACCGGCGAUCGGGUCCGCCGAGGAGGCCGACACGGCUGGCAAAGCGGCCGCGCCCGACGUAAAAGUCGAACCGGCGCGCGCGGAUGGCCGCCGUGGCGCCGCCGCCGGCCGGGUCCUCCACCGGGAUCACCACGUCCGAACAGUAGAGUUGGGCGCGCUUGGCCGGCAGCGAGCACACGAGGUCGUUUGCGGGCACACGCAAUCGUGCCUCGCGUAGGUCGUGGGUGGACACGGUGAGCGUGCGACGCGUGGUGCUCACUGCCACCCACACGGCCUGACCCGCAAUGCACACGGGCAGUUGCCACGUGCGCCGGCGACGCGCCAAAGGCACGACGAACCCGUCGGCGUUGAACAGCGGUGCUAGAGGCACGGAGCGGGUCCCCUUGCUGUCGGAUCGACCGUGUCGGUCGUUGCCCGUGUGAUGGGCGCCAUCGUUGCCGAUACGCGACUCGAUACCGUGCGCGGUGGCGUGCCCGUCUUGCACGUGCCGGCGCCGUUCACGCUCGUCGCCCCUUCUGGCGGCCUUUCUCGAGUCUCUGUCUCUAAUGACGGCAGUGGUGUGGUUGUCGCCGCCGCCCGUUUGCGUUGCAUCGCGCGCAGGCUCAAACCCCGCGGGCGAUGGUGCGGUGGCGUCGGGUACACUGUGGUGCCCUGCACGAGGAGACGAGACAGGCCUUGCGUGCGUCUUGCGUGGUCGCUUGGCGCGUCGGGCUUUGGCAUGGGACGGCACGCGCGGCGCCACCGCCGUCGGCGCGACGGUAUCGCGUCGUUCGCCACCGCCGCCGGCAAAUUCGGCAGCGGCGACGACCGGGUCGUGCAGCCAGCGGACGUCGACCGGCGCCAAUCCAUUGGUGGGCACGAGGGCGUUGCCUGCAUCCACGCGCCCGUUGCCGUGUACGUAGCCAUAACCAUAGCCGCCGCCAUCAUUGUCCAAAUGGUAGUCGUUUGUGUCAUCAUCAAAUGUGCCCGGCGGCGGCAGCGCCGAGGCGUCGACCAGGCGCGACGGCGCGGCGUCCGAAUUGAAAAAGGGCAUCGAUGACGACGAGGGCGUCGACGGCAACACCAGAUCGCUGUCUGACGAGUCCUCGCGCGAGGCGCUACGGUUUGUGUUGGGGUUGUCGUCGCCGGCAUCACUGCCACGCCCGCGAUCGUUGCGGUGGCCAUAAUGCUGGCCGCCCCGCGUGCGACCCUGAUCGCGAAACGGCGCGUUGCGAUAGUCGCCGUUGUUGUCGUUGUGCGACGUGCGCAUGCCCGCGAGGUCGUCGUCGUCGCGCACGCAGGUCGCGUCGCCAUAGGCGGCCGAUGUCGUCGAUGCGUCGCUCGGGAGGUCGCUGGGUCGUGUGCGAGUUGCAUCCGUGCUGCUGGUCUGGGCGCCAAAGGCAGUGCUGCGGUACGUCGACGGCACGUCGUCCAUGGCCCAUAUGUUGGCGGCGGCAUGUCCCGGUGCGUUGGCGUCGCGCGACCGCCAGGGAUCUAGAUGCACGGCAUCGACAACAAAGAGUCAGCACAAAAAAAAGGGAACACUGGCGCCAUUCCUACUGUGCGUUGGCGGCAACAGAAGGGCAAGAGGAAAAAAACAAAACAGGCCAACGAAAAAAAAGUGGAGAUGCACGAUCAGAGAGGGAGCGCGCGCAUGCGUGCGGGUCAACUGCGACUGCCAGAAAAAAAAGGAAAGAGGAGGCGAAAAAAAGUCAAAGCACCUUGUUGGUGGGCCGCGCUCAUGGCCUACGGCGAGCCGG
rnacentral:lncRNA from 1 species